rnacentral:tRNA from 1 species
GUACAGAAAAAAGACCUUUAGUAGGGAUUCUUAAUUGUUGCAUCACUCAAACUUUGGUCGGGGAGAGUGGUGUUUAAAUGUUAGUAAUAU